CAACAGUUCACACUCCUCAGACACCAAAGAAGGAAGGAAGUGUGUCCUCUGGUUACUCCUCUUGCAGUUUGGAUGCCCUUUCUUUCUGUUGCUCGAUUGCUCUGGCUAGGACUAGUAUUAUGUAAGUGUUCCAUUCAUUAAUUUGCUGAACUGUAGUGGGAAGACAACCCUUCCCCAAACUCCGUUCACUCCAUACCUAAACGGACCAAGCACAUGCUUAGGGCACUAAUGAAACAGGAACACCAAGAUAAUGAGUAAACUUCAGCUUUUGGUGAACUUGGAAUUUUAUAAUCAGAGAUAAUCUAGAAAUAAGCCUUUCUAACUUCAGCAUACAUUAAUAUUUUGGCUUCCCCAGGCCCACUUGCAUCAUGUACUUCUUUCUCAGAUAAACACUCGAGGGACCUGAUGAGACUGAAAACAUCAAACACAGCCUCUGGGACAAGGAAAGUCUUUAAGAACUUUAGGGGUAUAUUAUUCUCAUACUCAAACACAUCUGCAGACCACCAAAGAUACUUCUCCUCGCAUCACUGUGAUCCUCUGGGCACAUCAGUCACAAAGAACCAGGCUUUAAGUCUUCUGAAAAUUAAUAGAAGCAAGAAGGUGACAAAACUCUAUGGACACUCUUGGGCUUAAAUCUUGCCAGUCAAGUGUUUGAUCACAGACAAGAACUGACCCUCUCUGUGCUCACCAAAUGUCAUGCAGAGACUCUAUGACCUACUACCUCCUUGUGUUCUUCCUGCCUCUCUAGCUGUUCAGUUCAGACUUCUUAGGAGGUUCUCAGAGAUACCUCAAACUGCACAAGUCCAGGGGGAGAAUCUAGAACCUUUUCUAUACUGUAGAGGCUUUCUUGAAUGCCUCUUUGUCCCCACUGUAGCUCUUUUUGUUUAAACUUGUCAGUUGAUCUCUUAUGGCAGCCUUGCCCACCUUUGAUUUAUCCCUUAUACCAAGGUUUCUCAAUUUCCACAGUCUUGACAUUUGGUACUAGAUAAUCCUUUGUUGUGGGGGCUGUUAUGUGCAUUGUGAGAUGCUGAGCAGUGUCCCUGGCCUCUACCAGGAGAUGCCAGUAGCAUCCCGAGUUGUGACAAUCAAAAAUGUCUCUAGACAUUGCCAAAUGUCCCUCGGGGCAAAACUGUCACCUAGCUGAGAACCACUUCUCAAUCUGACCCUGAAUUAUCUUUGAGAAACCAAUAUUUACUGCAGUAUACCCUUAAAUAGUUGAGGGCUCCCAUUGUCUAUGAAUAAACUCCCUGGCAUGACAUAUUUUGCCUUUAUUAUAUCAUCCAACACCCCCCACCAGCACAGGCAGUUAGGUACCUUAUCUGCUGCUGACAGUCUCGUCCAGGGUUUGUCUGCCCUCCUGUCAUAGUCCUGCGCUUUUGCUACUUCCACGUAAUCACUGAAUCGUAUCAGAAUUUUUCUGUCUCUUAAUUCAUCAACAGUGGGUCUCUGAUUAAGCUAAAAUUAAAGAUCAUCAUAGUUAAGUAUCACAUGCCAAACUAGCUUUUUUGAAGUACUCUGAACAAACAGCACUUCUCUUAAAAAACAAAACAAAACAAAAAAAACCUGAAACUGGAAAAUAUAACCCAAAUACAAGCAAUCUCUAAUGUGAAGGGCUGAAAUUAUAUACUGUACUCUUAAAUCACAAUCCCCCUUCCUCCAACAUAUUUUAUCAGAAGGAGUCACACCCCCAGUAGUACAUAGCACCAGCUCAAGGAAUGGUUAGUGAAUUAACUUAGAUUUUAUGGCAUCACUGGCUUCAGAUACAAUUAGAUAAGCUUUUUAAAAGUACUAAUAAAGUUAUUAUAUGUCCAGCUUAGGAAGGAUAUUCUGUUAAUUUCAAGAGAAUUAUUAUGGAGCAGCACAACGAAGAAGGGGAAUCCAGAACACUUGAAUUUAGAAAUGGUCAAGGCUUUAAAAGUAGAUUAAGAUUUAUAGAGUUGCUACCUGUAUUGGCCAUAGUAAAUGUUAACUGUUUGAGUCACAGAGAACAAACCUUUGAGUCUAAUAAAGCUUUCUGCAACUGAGGAACUUCUAGACAUAUUGGAGGUGAACAAAAGCGAUGAGUGUAAAAUGUGACUAAAACACUGAUACCCAGGUAUGCUUUUCCUAGACACUGUAAAUUAAGAAAAUGCCAAUCAACUUCUGGCUUCCACCUGAACAUAAGUAAAAAAUGUCAUGUGCAUUGUGCACCUCUCCAAGUGCUACCGUGCUAGGGAAGGACUUCGUCCAUAGGGAACGUCAGAGGGAGUUAAUUCAUUGUUGCUGAGCAAAUAUCCUGAUUUAACUGAUGCCAUGAUGUCCAGGAGAACAUUAUUCAUGAUCACAGAGUGAUACCUAGCAUUACCCAUCCCACCUGCUACCGAAGCAGCUGUUCUCUAGACCACCUUUUAUUAUUCAGGCAAUAAAAUGCUUAUACUACCUUUCUUGUCAAUCUUUGCUUGAUUUCUCUUCUUUCUUCCUGCUCUGUCUGAUCAUUCCUUUCUGUGAAAGAUUAAAAUAGGAAAAAAAAAAUAACAAAGAGAAACAGGUUGAAACGUUCUUCUCUUCAGCAGGGAAGUGUUCCCAAGAUAUCCAUAUUUCUGGGAGCUGAAGUUAAUUCCACAUCACUCAUGGUGUUUUCUUCCCACUUUGUCAGUCACUGCUCAGGAGAUCAUGGUCUCAUUACACAGAAAUACUUGUACUAAGCAAAGCUUUGCUGUCAUCCCAACCUGGUCUCCUCAGCCCUUCUGUGCAUUAGAAACAACCACAGAUAUGGCUGCUGUUUGUUUAAGGAAGUAGACACCUCUGUGUCUGUCUUUCUCCCCAAAUAUCUUUAUAUUUACAUCUAGCACUUAGAUGCCACAUAAAAAAAGCUGUAGUAGACUAAGUAAAUAAAUGUAUAUGUACAUUUCAAUAUAAAUAGCACUGCCACUAAUUUUUUUCCUUAAUAAGCGUACAGACUUUUUAACCAACAUAAAACAUGGAACACCUUCUUCAGCUCCUGGGCAGCAUAUGCUUGCCUGGAAUUUAUAUGUUCAGACUAUAUUUCAAAUCUUAACACAUCUAUGAACCUCGCUGACUCUCCAUUGCUGAAGCGUGAACACUGUUAUAUGACAGUGCCUUUUAAAGGAGCCCAAGUCCCUCAGCAAAAUUAGCUUUGCUUGGUAAGUUGUGACUAUUAACAUUCAAGCUGUGCUCGCACCUACCCUUGGAAGCCAAAAAUAGACGAAAGUGCUGAGAUAUAGUAUAAAACGUAAGCUUCCCCCUGGGAUACAAGAUAAUGGCUGUCCUAUUUCUGGUGUUCUCUGUUGCUAAAUAAAGCCUUAUGUCCCUGACCUGAACAUAGCUCCAUUCCUAGGAAAGAGAUUUCAACAAUCAGCACUCCUAGAAACACUGGUAGGUUUUGGUAAGGGAAAUCCUGCCACUUGCAAUUAACACAAUUUCACAUUAUCUGCCUUUAUGUAAAAGAUGCGUUUCAAAUAUUUAUACAUUUGUGGGAUUGGUUAUAUGAGAGUUUAAUAUAUUGUGCUUUCCAGUAAUUUUUUUUAAGUGAGUCAUCUUGGAUUAGGGUGUUUUAGAAAAGGUAAUGAAAUCCUCUUUCUGCUUAAUUCUUUAUACAAGUGAGAAACCAGAAGAAACCAUACUUUUAAGGUAUCAUCAGAAAGCUGAUACAAUUAGAGAGACAUUGUGAAAGUGUCCAGACAAGGCAAGCCAUGAGGGAUUUACGUGACGUAAAAUGUUUCAGAUUUCUUUAAAAUAGGCCAUGGGCAGCUCCCAAGUGCAGCUUCCAUGUGAAAAGAUUGAAACAAAGUCAGAUCUUUUUUUUUUUUUUAAUCCUGAAAAAUGCCAUAAUUACUACGAAGGUCACCAGCAGGGUCUUUGGAGAACUGAUCUUUGAAAGUUCCUGUCAGAGUGCUGCUUUGUGCCAGGCGCUCUGUUGGAGACCUCCUCCAAGAAGUCCUCCCUGUUAGCCUAAGCCCACAGACCUCCCCUUCUGAGCUCCCCUUAGUGAUAUGUUUAUGGAUUUCUUAUUUCCAGACCCAGAACACCCUCUGCAUUAUACAAAGCAAGGGACCCAUAAUCAGGACUGCUAUACUCAUAUUUUCUGGAAAUAGCUCCAGCAGCUUGGACAGUUAUACCUGAGACUUCCAUGAAUAUCCAGAAAUGUAUUACUGCUUCUGAUGCAGUAGUUAAGAAGAUGGGCAAUGGAGUUAGGCAGACCUGGGGUUGAACUCUAGUGCUAUCCUUUUCCCAAUAUUCAUUUAUUAAAAAGUGCAAACCUCACAAAUAUGUUGCAAUGAUUAAAUGAGGGAAUAUAUACCAAGUACUGAAUAUAGUCCCUGGCACAGAUUGGGCCUAAUAAAGAAUUACCAUCACCAUAUAAAGGGACCCCUGCUCUUCUGCUUUUCUAUCCACGUUAUAGUGUUAUAUGGGCGGAGUUUUGAGUGCUCCUCAGAUAUGACUGCAGUUAGUCAUGAGUUCCCCCUUGAAGCAAAUACAAAAGUGAUAUUCUAAGAAUUGGUUACAAGAAGAAAAUACAAUACAGUAUGAGUGCUUGAAGUCCUGUGUAUCUAGAGCCUAUGAGUAUGAUGUUUCAUACUAGGCUAUAUAUAGUUACCCUAUUCUCAUCUCCACAGAACAAAAGUAAAACCAAACACCCACCACAAACCUAGCAGUAAAAUUCUCAGGUCCUUCCACUCAGGACACUAGAGAGGGCUUCCGAGCUAAGGACAAACCUACAUUCACUGAUGAAGGCACAGUGUUUAUGGCGGGAUUGCCAUGGCCACCGCAGAGGAAACCCAUUUUCCCUUUCAUGCACUGAAGGUAAGGGCAGUCAGUUUCAGUUAUGCAUUUGCUAGCUCCCUAUUCACCAAAGAUAGUUCUAUUUCUAAGGCUCUGAUAUUUAUUUCCAAAGAUUAACACAAUUAGAAGUACUUGCUGAUGGGAAGACCUGGUUGCCCACGAUAGGAAGGAAGAGGCUGCUACUGAAAGAAGACAUGGUUCCUGGGUUAAAGGUCUGGGCUGUAGUACUCUCUUCCUGUUGCUGACAGCAGGCUACUUGGAAUGUGGUGCUUCCUGUGUCUUGAACUUGCCUGGUUCAAGUCUGGACUGCUACUUUUAGUAGCAUCUGCAACUUACAAGCUUUAUAAAUAAGUGACUUAAUUUUUAAAAAUUCAAAUAUUUGGCAACUGAAACAGCUUGACUUUUCUGUCUGCCUACUUAAUUAAGCAUGUUAUCAAUGAAGAGCUUUUCUUUAAAUCCUCAGAGAUGGUAUAGUUAACAUAGAACAGUAGUCACUAUAUCUUAAGUUUAAAAAGUAAAAUGAAGAAGUCUUUAUCUGAGGGUUAUUUUCAACAAUCUAUAAAGGAGGGGAUUGUUUUAGGCAGUUAAUGAAGGCACUGAGGCAAAGAAAGGAGGGAGGAAUCAAUUCAAGUUCAGUACCCAGACCAACAAGGGGCUCUGCGGUAUUUUCUGACAGAAAGUCAGCUUGGUACCAUUAUAACUUCAUAAAAAGAUGUUCACAAAUAAGAAAACAAACUCAGAGAAAGUCUGCAGUAUUCAUCACAUAAAGAGAAAAAAAGUCCUUUAAAAAUCCAAGCCAUUAGAAGACACUUUCUGUGGAAAAUGUUUUAAAAACUGAAAAUGACUAGAUAAAGAACUAUUGGAGAAACACUUUUUCAAGAGGUUUGGCCACCCCUAAAUCACUGACUUUAUGGAAUAUUUAAUGGAAUAUAGUGCCCUAGAGCAUGGAGGUUACUCAUGAACACCUAUGCUCAGCAUAUGCUAUAAUUGUCCACCUAACGGGAAAUGCAAGGGGUUGCAAGGCUGGGAGCAACAGAGGGUCCUGGAACCUCAAAGUCCUGAGCCACAGGAAAGCUUCUCAUGGCUUCACCGUUUCCCUGAGCUGACUGCUUUAUUCCUCCCAAGUGUAACAGGCAAGGGGCGUGUCCUUCUCUAGUGUGUUCAUGCGGUUCAUGCUUUGUGAUUUCUAUAGCCAUGAAGAACCCCGACCCAAACUGCCAGGAAGACCUGCUUGAAACCUAACGCACUUAGACAUAUGGGACUAACCCUGAAAAUAAAAACAUCUUUAUGCUAAGAGGAAAGGAGUUUUUUUAAAUUAAAAAAAAUGUUUCUAGGUAUAUCAGCUUUCCUUUGGGGCUUGCUUUCAGAAUUCAGCAGCAGCUCAGGUUUACUGGGAGCAUGGAGCAUUCCGCUUGCAGAGAAGGGCUGGGUUAUGGGAACUCAGGAUUUGUGCAACAGCCUCACCACACGUGAAGGAAAACCUCUAGAGGAAUCACCAGCUACUCACGUUUCAAGAUAUUUCUUCUCUCCAGCUCUUCCACGGCAGGUCUUUGGCUCAGCCGUCUGCGGAAAAACACUAAAAUUACAUUUUGCACCAUAGUGG
rnacentral:lncRNA from 1 species